GACGAACGCUGGCGGCGUGCUUAACACAUGCAAGUCGAACGGUGAUGCUCCAGCUUGCUGGAGUGGAUCAGUGGCGAACGGGUGAGUAACACGUGAGCAACCUGCCCCAGACUCUGGAAUAAGCGCUGGAAACGGCGUCUAAUACUGGAUACGAAACUGGCCCGCAUGGGCAUGGUUUGGAAAGUUUUUCGGUUUGGGAUGGGCUCGCGGCCUAUCAGCUUGUUGGUGAGGUAAUGGCUCACCAAGGCGACGACGGGUAGCCGGCCUGAGAGGGCGACCGGCCACACUGGGACUCAGACACGGCCCAGACUCCUACGGGAGGCAGCAGUGGGGAAUAUUGCACAAUGGGCGAAAGCCUGAUGCAGCGACGCCGCGUGAGGGAUGACGGCCUUCGGGUUGUAAACCUCUUUCAGCAGGGAAGAAGCGAAAGUGACGGUACCUGCAGAAGAAGCACCGGCUAACUACGUG
rnacentral:rRNA from 1 species